ACUGAUGGUUAAAGUCACUGAUGGGAGGGCUGCUGAGGCUAAAGGGUGGCUGGCAUGAUGGUUAUUGUGACUGAUGGUUAAAGUCACUGCUGGGAGGGCUGCUGAGGCUAAAGUGUGGCUGGCAUGAUGGUUGUUCAUGUGACUGAUGGAAAUUGUCACUGGUGGGAGGGCUGGCGAGGCUGAGAUACUGAUGGCUUAAAGGUGUUGGUUGGAAAAUGUCUUUGAUGGGAGGGCUGGGGUGGCUGAUGUUCUGGUGGCUUAAAGGUGUUGGUUGUGACUCAUGGUUAAAGUCACUGAUUGGAGGGCUGGCAUGUGUGAAGAAGUCAUGGCUAAGAGGUGUUGGUUGUGAAUCAUGGUUAAAGUCACUGAUAGGGGGGUUGGUGUAGCUAAAGAAGUCGUGUCUAAAAUUUAUUGAUUGUGACUGAUGUUUAUAGUCACUCAUAAGGCUGGCAUGGCUGAAGAUCUGAUGGCUACAAGGUCUUGGUUGUGACUGAUGGUCACUGAUGGGAAGGCUGGCAUGGCUGAAGUAUUGAUGGCCUAAGGUUGUCGGUUCUGAUGGUUAGUUAAAGUCACAGAUUGGGAGUACUGGGUUUUAACUGAUCAUUCAAGUCACUAAUGGGAGCCCUGGCAUGCUCUAACUAUUGAGGGCUAACAGUUGUUGGUUUUUAUUGAUGGUUAAUGUCACUGAUAGGAACAUCGGAAUGUCUGAAGUAUGGAUGGGUAAAAGGUCUUGGUUGUGAGUGAUGGCUAUAGUCACUGAUGGGAGACUGGCAUGGCUAAAGUAUGGCUGUCAUAAAGGUUUUUGCUGUGACUGAUGGUUAAAGUCACUGGUGGGAGGGCUGGCGAGGCUGAGGUACUGAUGGCUUAAAGGUCCUGGUUGUGGCUAUUGGUUCAAGUCAGUGGUGGCAGGGCUGGCGUGGCUACAGUAUGGCUGGCUUAAAGGUGUUGGUUGUGACUGAUGGUUCAAGUCACUGAUGGGAGGGCUGGCGAGGCUGUGGUACAGGUGGCUUAGAGAUGCUGUUUGUGACUGAUGGUUAAAAGUCAUUGGUGGGAGGGCUGGCGAGGCUAAAGUAUGGCUGGCAUGAAGGUUUUUCUUGUAACUGGUGGUUAAAGUCACUGGUUGGAAGGCUGUCGAGGCUGAGGUACUGAUGGCUUAAAGGUGUCUGUUGUGACUGAUGGAAAAUGUCACUGAUGGGAGGGCUGGCAUGACUAAAGAGUGGCUGGCAUGAUGGUUUUUCUUGUGAUUGAUGUAACAUGUCACUGGUGGGAGGGCUGGCGAGGCUGAUGUUCUGAUGACUUCAAGGUGUUGGUUGUGACUGAUGGUUAAAGUCACUGAUGGGAGGGCUGGUGUUUCUAAAGGGUGGCUGGCAUGAUCAUUAUUGUUGUGACUGGUGGUUAAAGUCACUGCUGGGAGGGCUGGCGAGGCUAAAGUGUGGCUGGCAUGAUGGUUGUUCAUGUGACUGAUGGAAAUUGUCACUGAUGGGAGGGCUGGCUUGGCUAAAGUAUGGCUGUCAUAAAGGUUUUUGCUGUGACUGAUGGUUAAAGUCACUGGUGGGAGGGCUGGUAUGGCUAAAGAGUGGCUGGCUUAUGGUUGUUCAUGUGACUGAUGGAAAUUGUCACUGGUGGGAGGGCUGGCGAGGCUGAGGUACUGAUGGCUUAAAGGUCUUGGUUGUGGCUAUUGGUUCAAGUCAGUGGUGGCAGGGCUGGCGUGGCUAAAGUAUGGCUGGCUUAAAGGCGUUGGUUGUGACUGAUGGUUCAAGUCACGGAUUGGGAAGGCUGGCAUGGCUGAAGUAUUGAUGGCCAAAAGUUGUUGGUUCUGAUGGUUAGUUAAAGUCACAGAUUGGGAGUACUGGGUUUUAACUGAUCAUUCAAGUCACUAAUGGGAGCCCUGGCAUGGUCUAACUAUUGAGGGCUAACAGUUGUUGGUUUUUAUUGAUGGUUAAUGUCACUGAUAGGAACAUCGGAAUGUCUGAAGAAUGGAUGGGUAAAAGGUCUUGGUUGUGAGUGAAGGCUAUAGUCACUGAUGGGAGGGCUGGCUUGGCUAAAGUAUGGCUGUCAUAAAGGUUUUUGCUGUGACUGAUGGUUCAAGUCACUGAUGGGAGGGCUGGCGAGGCUGAGGUACUGAUGGCUUAAAGGUGUCUGUUGUGACUGAUGGAAAAUGUCACUGAUGGGAGGGCUGGCAUGGCUAAAGAGUGGCUGGCAUGAUGGUUCUUCUUGUGA